rnacentral:rRNA from 1 species
CAUGCAAGUCGAGCGGAAACGAGAAGUACUUGUACUUCGGCGUCGAGCGGCGGACGGGUGAGUAAUGCUUGGGAAUAUGCCUUAUGGUGGGGGACAACAGUUGGAAACGACUGCUAAUACCGCAUAAUGUCUACGGACCAAAGCGGGGGACCUUCGGGCCUCGUGCCAUUUGAUUAGCCCAAGUGAGAUUAGCUAGUUGGUGGGGUAAUGGCCUACCAAGGCGACGAUCUCUAGCUGGUUUGAGAGGAUGAUCAGCCACACUGGGACUGAGACACGGCCCAGACUCCUACGGGAGGCAGCAGUGGGGAAUAUUGCACAAUGGGCGAAAGCCUGAUGCAGCCAUGCCGCGUGUGUGAAGAAGGCCUUCGGGUUGUAAAGCACUUUCAGUUGUGAGGAAAGGGUGUUGGUUAAUACCUAACAUCUGUGACGUUAGCAACAGAAGAAGCACCGGCUAACUCCGUGCCAGCAGCCGCGGUAAUACGGAGGGUGCGAGCGUUAAUCGGAAUUACUGGGCGUAAAGCGUGCGUAGGCGGUUUGUUAAGCAAGAUGUGAAAGCCCCGGGCUCAACCUGGGAACUGCAUUUUGAACUGGCAGGCUAGA